rnacentral:lncRNA from 1 species
AGGAUGCAAGCAUUAUAUAGUAGCAAUAAUAUUAUGUGUAUAUGCUCCAGACUCGCAGAAUAUGAUCCUUGGUUGCUUGAAGUGUGCUAGCCAAAUAUGUUUGUGUUCCCUGGUGCUUAAGGUACCUAUCAAGAAACGGAUGUUAGAUCAUUGUGGUUUUCGAAGAAGUUGACUAUUUUUUUUUUUCGAGCUAAUUUUGAAUUCAGAGGUGGGUUUUCGUUUAUUACCUGAUCAUGGUACAUAUGGUUCCCAGUCUGCUUAUUUUUUCCCCGGUAUAAUACCAAAAAAAGGAGUUAGUGAUUUUGGUUAAAUGCUUGUAGGUGAAAGAUUAAGUUUGUAAUGGUUACCUGAAUCAUCUGAAUACCCGGCGAUGUAUUCUGUUUUGAUAUAUAAUUGAAUACAGAGAGUAUGUAAAGUUAGCUAUAAUUGUGUUAUGUAUGUAUAUAAUGGUACUAAAAGAUAAUCUAUGUAAAGUAUAAGAGAAGUUACGUGGGUGAUGUACCAUUUAACUGGGAAGUGGUCUCUUUGUUUCCAUCUGUGAAAAGAACACAAUAGUAUGAGUGUGUAUUUUACGACAUUUUUUUAUAUGUAUAUUGUCAAAGGAAUAGAUGAGUAUACCUUGAAGGUCAUAGUACUGUUUUUGGACCUCUUUAUGGUGCUCACUGUCAAGAUCAGAGUCUCCUGCCAAUGUUGUAGUCAUAAUGAUUAUAGAUAGUACCAUUCAAACUUAAUAAAGACAUUGUAAAUGUAAAUGUUGUUACCUCGAAAGUUGUCAGUGUUUUCUAAAUAGUAUAGGUCAUGUUGGUUGGGAUGCAUGUCCUCUGUAAUGACUUCAUACCAUAAUGGCCAGAUGCUGAUAAUACUACCAUUAUGUGUUUCUUUUUUGACACCUAUAUGUGUGAUCUCCGGUAUAGACAUAUCUGAUCCGUAAGCAUCCACUGAAUAUGUCAGGUUUGCUGGCGUAAAUGCUAUUUUGUGGACAAUGCAUAUUUUCUUAAGGAGCUGGCGUACUAUGAACUCACAACAGAGAUGAGGUGGAAGCCCAUAUAUAUAAAUGGUUAGGUGUUGAC